AUUGAACGCUGGCGGCAGGCCUAACACAUGCAAGUCGAGCGGAUGAAGGGAGCUUGCUCCUGGAUUCAGCGGCGGACGGGUGAGUAAUGCCUAGGAAUCUGCCUGGUAGUUGGGGAUAACGUCCGUACACGGGCGCUAAUACCGCAUACGUCCUGAGGGAGAAAGUGGGGGAUCUUCGGACCUCACGCUAUCUGAUGAGCCUAGGUCGGAUUAGCUAGUUGGUGUGGUAAAGGCCUACCAAGGCGACGAUCCGUAACUGGUCUGAGAGGAUGAUCAGUCACACUGGAACUGAGACACGGUCCAGACUCCUACGGGAGGCAGCAGUGGGGAAUAUUGGACAAUGGGCGAAAGCCUGAUCCAGCCAUGCCGCGUGUGUGAAGAAGGUCUUCGGAUUGUAAAGCACUUUAAGUUGGGAGGAAGGGCAGUAAGUUAAUACCUUGCUGUUUUGACGUUACCAACAGAAUAAGCACCGGCUAACUUCGUG
rnacentral:rRNA from 1 species